GAUACAUUUUGGCUUCCCAAUGAAGGGGUGGGAAUUCAAUGGCCUAAUGGUUAGCAUGCACACGCAGUAUCAUACACCCUGCCAUUGAGUAUAAUCUGCAGGGUGGGUGAGUGAAUAAUUGGAAAUUUUCCCCUUACACUGUCUUACAGUCAUCUCUAAUGAUUUCCUGUCAAAUUACUCCACCAAAACACAAGAAUUGCCUCCUAUGAAAUGCAAACAGUUAUCUCCCAUUCACUAUAUACCAGUUACCAAUAAACCACACAUAUUCAGAAAUAAUUCAUACAUAUUUUUCUAAACUAGAGAUGGCCAUUUAUAAUUUCUCAUAUAUUUUAUUUAUCUUUCAGAGUAAUGCCAUAACAAUAAAAGGCAUGUUGGUUUAUCAGACUGAAAUCAGAAAAAACAACCAAGGAUCAAGAUAUGGUAUAUCUCACUUUGUGACAUCAAAUGAUGUCUACUUUAUCUCAUUCCCUGAACAAUUUAUAGACGAAAUGGAUCAAGACAAAUUUUACAUAUUGAAAAAUGUUUACAAUAGUCCAGAUGGAUAUCGGUUAAAAAGCCAUAGUGAGAUCUUUUCUACAAAGCCUUGUACAAUAAAUAACACUGCCUUGCAACUCUUCAAAAACGCACCAGUAGUAUCCAUUCCAGAUGCUGUGUCAUCCCCAACAAAGAGAAGGUUUAGUGUUUGUGGAUUUAUUCAACAUAUUGGAGAAGUAUACUCCGGGGAAAACUCAAGAAGAAAAUUAAUACGUUUAUCAACAAAUUCUGACCCUGACACAAGUGAACCACAGGCACAUGUUAAAUUAUGGAACCAAUAUUGUGAAAAUCCAUUGCAAACAAAGCAGAAAAUAACAUUGAAGAAUGUCGUUGUUUCUGAAUUCAAUGGAGUAAAAACAAUUAACACAACAUCGACGACGCAGAUUAUUGAUUCAACUGAAGAAACCAGAAUUAGUGGUGAGAUUCAGGGCAUUAAUUGGAAAACGGAGGUUCCCAAAGUUCUAAUCAAUGAUAUCAGCUAUACGAUAGAAGCUGACCUAUUGAAAACAGUGAUGACAAAAUAUUCUGUAGAUGGUAUUACAGUGGAGUGCAAAGUAAUUGGAAAUUCCAUUAGAGAAAUAAAAAAGAUGGCAAAAGAAAAAACAGGGAAAAAAUAAAUUCUGCCCUCAUACUUUACAUGUUGGAAUUUGUUUUCUUUGAUACAUUUAACACCAACACAUGUUUUAUUGCCUGGUAGGCAACCUACUUUAUUUUCUUAAAUGUUCUUGAAUAUUAUAUAUUUAUUUUUUAUGUACUUUAUAUUUAUUCUGUAUAUCACAAUCAGUAAUAAUCAGUUUCCCCUUCUCUGAUCUUGUAUACGGCAGCAAUCUUGUUACAAAUAAUAUCAUAUCGCACAUCUUGCCUUUUAUAUACCCUCACAUGAAUACAUGUAUUGUGAUCAUUUAUCGUUUAAUCUGUCUCAAUUUGUAUGUGUUACAUUUCUCAAACAAAUGAACAUUAUUCAAUUUUGUUUAUAUAUUUUAACAAUUAUGAACAUUUCUGCACUUUCUGGAAUCAACACUGUCACCAGUAUAGUUAUGUCACUUAACUUUGCACAGCAUUGUCAACAUAUUCUGUCAGUGACAACAAACUUAUAUGUUCUUUAGUUUACUGUUUCAAUAAUGCCAUAUGAAUCUCAACAACUAUUUUCUAUUCGCCCACAUGGAAAUGUGGAUGUAUAUUGUCAUCACCCUGUAUGUCUGUCUGCCCAUCCAUCCAUUGGUUGUCGCCCAGUUUCUUGUAACACUCUAGAGGCUAAAGUUAAUAUCUGAUUGACUUGAAAUUUAUACACACUGUUUAAGGUCAUGAAACAAAGAAACCUAUUGUUUUUCAGCGAUUUCCGAUAAUAACUACCAAAAAAUCUUGUGGACGCUAUCCACAGUUUCUUGUGAUUGUUUUUUAAAUCAUAAAAAAAAGCCUAUUGUUUUUCAACGAUAUCCAAUAAUUACUGCCAGAGUUAUGACCCUUGAUCACUUUGAAAAACUUGUGAAUGCACUAGAAGCUUAUUUCAUUAUUCAAUUGACUUUAAUUUAUACAUUUUAAGGUCAUGAGACAAAGACAAAAAACUAUCAAUUUUCAGCAAUAUCCAAUAAUUACUGCCAGAGUUAUAUCCCUUGAUCACUUUGCAUUAUCUUAUGGAUGAAAAUCAUGAGACAAAAAAUCCAACCAUUUCUGAUAAUUACGUGUUGUAAACGUUCUCCUUACUGACAAAAGAAAAAAUAUGUGACAACCCGUGACUGUCCAAACGACAUUAAUUGUGUGACUAUGUUUCAUUGCCUGGCAACCUAUCAUUAUUACUUAUAAAACCAUAUCCCUUGUUCUCUCUUGCAAGAUAUAUGCAUACAUGUAUCAACAUAUAUCACAUGAUAGCAACUGUAUACAUGUAAAUUGCUGUAAUACAUCAUUCUUUCUGAUUUCCCCUUCUUAUUUUAUUUUAAUGAUUUCUGCAUUAAUGUGCAUUAUACAUUAACAUUGAAAUAAUUAUUUGGGCUUUGUGUGCCCUUCGCUACAUCAUAGAAAUUCUGUUAUACAAUACAGUAUUCAUUUUUUUUCUUUACACAUCUUUAUAUGAUAUAAAGAUAUUAA